rnacentral:lncRNA from 1 species
AGUCAAGAUGUCCAUUAUCCUUCCCGUGAAACACCGAAGAAGCCUCCUGACUGGUCUCCCCAUCUUCCACUCCUACCCUGACUCUAAUUCUUUCCCCACCUGUCAGAAAGUGGGGCCUUUCAGAAGUGGAAAUCCAUUAUUACCAUACUUCUGCUAUAAAAUUUGAAUGGAAUUCCACUUCUCUUGAAAUAUGGUUUGGACUUUAUAGCAGAAUUUUCAAGUCUUUCAGCAAUAUGACCAUGCCUACCUUGCCAAUUUUGUCUCUUGUUAUUCUCACUGUCUGUAGCCAUGCCAGACUUACUUUAUGACAUUUAAUGAAUUAUUCGUUCAUCUCCAGGUGUUCUCAUAUUCUGUUGAUUUACCUGGAAUAUUUUCAUUUUCACCUGAAUAUCUUUCACACAUUGUGUCAUCAGAGAAGCUUCCUCAACCAAGGCUCUCCUCUGCCAAAGGAACCCGAAGACAUAUCAGCUUCUAAUGACAGAAACUACACAUCAGUUACACUAGGCAAGAACACAUGUAGCCUUCAGCUGGGGACUCCUACUGCAAUUAAAACAUAACAUAAUAGCUAUUGGGCAUUUCUGAGAAAGGAAUGAAAAGUUCAGAAAGUAGUAUGGGGAGGUGGGCCUUGCAUAAGACUGGCUCUUACAUGAGAGCUUAAUACCUCUAAUUUAAAAAUAGAUAAAAGGACAGUAAUGAAAAUGUAAGCUUUUCUUUCAGUGGCAUUGUAUUUCAAUAUCUCUAAUCUAACAUACACAGCCUCACUUAUUCUGGGGAUUCACUCUAUACUUUUUACUUUUGAGUUGUUUUCGACUCAAUACACUGAGAAAUUAAACAGUUAUGAACUUAUAGUUUUUUUUUUUUGGUCCUCAUAUCAGACAAAAUCAAUCAAUAAUUAACAAUACUUUUUGUGAGCCAACUAGAUAUUCAUUACUAUUCUAUGGUCUAAAAUAAACCAGACAAAUAAAAGAUGCCA